rnacentral:rRNA from 1 species
GACGAACGCUGGCGGCGUGCCUAAUACAUGCCAGUCGAGCGGACGGAUGGGAGCUUGCUCCCAGACCGUCAGCGGCGGACGGGUGAGUAACACGUGGGCAACCUGCCUGUAAGACUGGGAUAACUCCGGGAAACCGGGGCUAAUACCGGAUAACUCUUUCCCUCACAUGAGGGAAAGCUGAAAGAUGGCAUCUCGCUAUCACUUACAGAUGGGCCCGCGGCGCAUUAGCUAGUUGGUGAGGUAACGGCUCACCAAGGCGACGAUGCGUAGCCGACCUGGGAGGGUGAUCGGCCACACUGGGACUGAGACACGGCCCAGACUCCUACGGGAGGCAGCAGUAGGGAAUCUUCCGCAAUGGACGAAAGUCUGACGGAGCAACGCCGCGUGAGUGAUGAAGGUUUUCGGAUCGUAAAACUCUGUUGUCAGGGAAGAACAAGUACCGGAGUAACUGCCGGUACCUUGACGGUACCUGACCAGAAAGCCACGGCUAACUACGUG